rnacentral:rRNA from 1 species
UAGGGAAUCUUCGGCAAUGGACGAAAGUCUGACCGAGCAACGCCGCGUGAGUGAAGAAGGUUUUCGGAUCGUAAAACUCUGUUGUUAGAGAAGAACAAGGACGUUAGUAACUGAACGUCCCCUGACGGUAUCUAACCAGAAAGCCACGGCUAACUACGUGCCAGCAGCCGCGGUAAUACGUAGGUGGCAAGCGUUGUCCGGAUUUAUUGGGCGUAAAGCGAGCGCAGGCGGUUUCUUAAGUCUGAUGUGAAAGCCCCCGGCUCAACCGGGGAGGGUCAUUGGAAACUGGGAUACUUGAGUGCAGAAGAGGAGAGUGGAAUUCCAUGUGUAGCGGUGAAAUGCGUAGAUAUAUGGAAGAACCCCAGUGGCAAAGGCGGCUGUCUGGUAUGUAACUGACGCUGAGGCUCGAAAGCGUGGGGAGCAAACAGG